rfam:Erinaceus europaeus unplaced genomic scaffold scaffold00706, whole genome shotgun sequence
UAUUUGCUUAUGAUGGUCACAGCUUAAAGUAUACACAGCUGUGACUUGAUUGGAAAGAAAAUA